rnacentral:lncRNA from 1 species
CGCCCGUGUCCUGCAGGAAGCGCUCGGAGCCAGGCCACAGGCUCCACCCCACCCCUGGCUGCCCAGCGUCGCCCAGACAUCCGGGCUAAAUCCCUGAACUGGGAUCCUUGAACUCAGGAUAUCAAGAACCUAGAAACAACUCCCUGAAAUCCUCCAUCUGAUAACACCAGGAUAGCAUCGGUAACCUUCCAGAAAUAACUGGAAAGACUGCAAGGGAUAUGGUCCUGCAUGAGCUGAGGCAUGAGGGAAGCCAGGUGCAUUCAUUUGUGGCACCUAACUGCACCUGGUGAGGGAAUCAAGGUUCCUGCAGGACAGAGAAGACUGGAGCAUGCUGGUAAGCUAACAGGGAGCAGUAGAGGGUGAGGUCAAAGCCAUGAAAAAGAGAAUUGCAGACAAAUGAGAAGAGCCUGAGAGACCGUGAGAAAGGGGUUGAAGGACAGCAGGGGUCUGUGUGCACUGAGAGGCCACGAGGUUGCUGGUGCUUAGUGAAGGUGGUUGUAGGAUUUCUCCCAAAAGCUCUCAGCCACCUAGGCAUACAGCCUCCCAGGUGGCUUGAUCUGGUGUCUGCUUAGUGAGUGGUGGACGGGAGUCGAAGAUGUCAGCAAGAACAGUUCAGAAAUAAUCAGAGGUCUCUAAGGUCAAGCUGAGAAGAGUGAAGUCCAGAGAGCCUGCAGGUAGGGAGAAAAUGUCUUGAUCAGGAAGUAGGAAUCAAGGCAAAGCCAAGGGGAAGGGGCAGCCAUGGGGACGGUGAACUUGAAC